rnacentral:misc_RNA from 1 species
GAUGAAGAACGCAGUGAAAUGCGAUAAGUAAUGUGAAUUGCAGAAUUCAGUGAAUCAUCGAAUCUUUGAACGCACAUUGCGCCCCCUGGUAUUCCGGGGGGCAUGCCUGUCCGAGCGUCAUUACAACCCUCAAGCUCAGCUUGGUGUUGGGCCCCGCCGCCCCGGCGCGCCCUAAAGUCAGUGGCGGUGCCGUCCGGCUCCGAGCGUAGUAAUUCUUCUCGCUCUGGAGGUCCGGUCGUGUGCUCGCCAGCAACCCCCAAUUUUUUUCAGGUUGACCUCGGAUCAGGUAGGGAUACCCGCUGAACUUAAGCAUAUCAAUAAGCGGAGGA